AACGAACGCUGGCGGCAUGCCUAACACAUGCAAGUCGAACGAGACCUUCGGGUCUAGUGGCGCACGGGUUCGUAACGCGUGGGAACCUGCCCUUAGGUUCGGAAUAACUCCCCGAAAGGGGUGCUAAUACCGGAUAAUGUCUUCGGACCAAAGAUUUAUCGCCUUUGGAUGGGCCCGCGUUGGAUUAGCUAGUUGGUAGGGUAAAAGCCUACCAAGGCGACGAUCCAUAGCUGGUCUGAGAGGAUGAUCAGCCACACUGGGACUGAGACACGGACCAGACUACUACGGGAGGCAGCAGUGGGGAAUAUUGGACAAUGGGCGAAAGCAUGAUCCAGCAAUGCCGCGUGAGUGAUGAAGGACUUAGGGUUGUAAAGCUCUUUUAACCGGGAUGAUAAUGACAGUACCGGGAGAAUAAGCUCCGGCUAACUCCGUG
rnacentral:rRNA from 1 species